GAAUCCCCGAGCGAUGGAUGGUU
rnacentral:siRNA from 1 species